CUACUUGACUGUUUGCCAGUGGUUUCAUGGCCUCCGUGGUAGCCAUGACACUAUCCCAGGCUGCUUCUCCCUCCAGCUGUACAAAAUAAUAGGUUGUACUCUCUGUGUCACAGUGAGUCAAGCAUUCACACCAAGUCAACAUCACUCAAGGUCUCUCAUCUCCCAGUGUGUCUUGAGGUGUUAAAGAUAAACCACAGCUCUAGAAAACUGCUGAAGAGCAGGUAAAAGAGAGCCUUUUCUUUUUAAUCCAACUCAAGGUGAAGAUACUAUACAGAGGAAGAAUCCUUUCAUUCCACUGAAAACUCCAUGAGAAAGCAACAUGUUCUCACAGUGUCUUCAGACAAGCAGUGGCAUUGGUCAACCAUUGUUGCUGCUCUGUAAUAAGCUGACUGAACAUAAGGGGAAAGGUAUUCUGCUCUUGGCUGAAGAAAAUAAAAUAGGGGCAGAAAAACGUAUAAGAAAAAUCAAAGGAAGGAUCAACUUUCUAAAAAAUAUUGUUUGUAUUGAGGAAAAAAUAAAAAUACUGGAAACAUUAUCUCUGAGACUUUUUGUAUCUGUGAAGGAAGGGGAGUGCAAGAAAAAACAGAGACUGCAGGAGAGCACGAAAAGAAACUGACUGUCCAUAGGAGACCUCCAUUUUUAGAUUUAAAAUAAUGCUACAUUUAUCAGUGUCUUCUGUGGAAAACAGAAUAACUAUUAGCCAUCUUUUUAACGCUGGAAAAGAGUGAGAUUAUAAACAAAGACAGAACUGAAGACAUGUGCAGCUUUUCCCAUAUUAAGACCUUCUUCAAAGAAAUGUGUCAGAGGGUUUACUCUCUGUAACACCCAGCAUUUGUUUGUUCACACUGACCUAAUUUUCAGAAGGCUUUAGGUUUUCUUGUAUGUAAGCAAUUUAUCAAGAAUACAUACA